ACCUAGUUGAUCCUGCUAGUAGUCAUAUGCUUGUCCCAAAGAUUAAGUCAUGCAUGUGUAAGUAUGAACUAAUUCAGACUAUAAAACUACGAAUGGCUCAUUAAAUCAGUUAUAGUUUGUUUGAUGGUAUUUGCUACUUGGAUAACCAUAGUAAUUCUAGAAUUAAUAUGUGCAACAAACCCCAACUUCUGGAAGGGACGUAUUUAUUAGAUAAAAGGUCAACACGGGCUCUGCAUGUUGUUUUAAUGAUUUAUGAUAACUCGACAACUCGCAUGACCAUCGUGCUGGCGACGCAUCAUUCAAAUUUUUAUCCUAUCAACUUUUGAUGGUAGGAUAGAGGCUUACCAUGGUGGUGAUAGGUGAUAGAGAAUUAAGGUUCAAUUUCGAAGAGGAAGCUUGAGAAAUGGCUACCACAUCUAAGGAAGGCAGCAGGCGUGGAAAUUACCCAAUCUUGACAUGGGGAGGUAGUGACAAUAAAUAACAAUAUCAAGCUCUUCGAGUCUAGUAAUUGAAAUGAGUACAAUCGACAUCCCUUAACGAGGAUCCAUUAGAGGGCAAGUCUUGUGCCAGCAGCCAUGGUAAUUCCAACUCCAAUAGCAUAUAUUUAAGUUGUUGCAGUUAAAAAACUUGUAGUUGGACUUUGGGUUAGGUUGGUCGGUCUGCCUCAAGUGUGCGCCUGUUGCCUUGUCCUUUCUACCGGUAAUGCACUCUUGGCCUUAAUUGGCUUGGUCAUGCCUCUGGUGCUGUUGCUUUGAAGAAAUUAGAGUGCUCAAAGCAAGCAUAUGCUCUAGAUACAUUAGCAUAGGAUUUCAAUCCUAUUGUGUUGGAGAUCACAGUAAUGAUUAACAUAGACAAUCAGGGGCAUUCGUAUUUCAUAGUCAGAUGUGAAAUUCUUGGAUUUAUGAAAGACGAACAACUACGAAAGCAUUUGUCAAGGAUGUUUUUAUUAAUCAAGAACGAAAGUUGGGGGCUCAAAGGCGAUCAUAUACCAUCCUAGUCUCAACGAUAAACGAUGCCGACCAGGGAUUGGAGGAUGUUGCUUCUAGGACUCCGCCAUCACCUUAUAAGAAAUCAAAGUUUUUGGGUUCUAAGAGGAGUAUAGUCAUAAGGCUGAAAUUUAAAGGAAUUGAUGGAAGGGCACCACCAGGAGUGGAGUCUGUGGCUAAAUUUGAAUCAAUACGGGAAAACUUACUAGGUCCAGACAUAGUAAGGAUUGACAGACUGCGAGCUCUUUUUGUUUUUAUCAAAUUAAGAAAUUUUAUAGAUCAAAACAAAACUAAGCUAGAGAACCAGCGAGUCAAAAUAUGCAAGCAUGUACAAUCUAAUAAAAUAAGCAUGAGGGAACAAGCUCCCAAUAUGAACAUUGCAAACCAAAAUAAUCAAAGGGAACAACAAGUUCCCUGAACGGAUAAAACAUGCAAAUACAAAUAUGAGCAAAACGAAGCCUUGACGUAGCAAACUGCAAAGACAUCCAAAGCAACCAGCAAUCCGUAGCAAAUGCAAUACAUGAUUGAACUACUCCAGCAAGCAACCUGGAGAAAUU